AUACGGAGGGUGCAAGCGUUAUUCGGAAUCACUGGGCGUAAAGGACGCGUAGGCGGGUUGGCAAGUCAGAUGUGAAAUCCUACAGCUUAACUGUAGAACUGCAUUUGAAACUGCUAACCUAGAGUAUGGGAGGGGGAGAUGGAAUUAGUGGUGUAGGGGUAAAAUCCGUAGAUACCACUAGGAAUACCGAAAGCGAAGGCGAUCUCCUGGAACAUAACUGACGCUAAGGCGUGAAAGCGUGGGGAGCAAACAGGAUUAGAUACCCGUGUAGUCCC
rnacentral:rRNA from 1 species